CCUGGGCGGCCGUGGGGUCAAAGGUCUCGUCGGCGACAGUGUCGGGGGACGGGUGCCCAGGCGACGCUUGUCCUACUUAGUAACGGCCCCCAAGCACCGGAGGAGCUUGGCCGGCGGUUCUGGGGCGCGGGAGAGGGGACCCAACUGCUUCCUUUAAGGAAAAGGCGCCCGUCCGGGGCUUGGGGAGCAAAGGAGUGACGCGGCGCCGAGGUCGCGGGGAGCCGCCCUAAGAGCGCACCUGCCGACCUGACACUGGGACGCAGGAGGAGGACACGCCUGCUGGGCACACCUCAGACCCGAAAGUUACAGCCCAGCGGAGUAGUAGUGAUAGUACUAAUAUUGUGACGUCACGGUUUCACUCCGUUGUAUAUAUAAAAUUAUCGAUCAUGUCUAAGAUCGAGAUGUAUACGGCCACAUGCUACUUUUUGUAUAGGAAUUAAAGCCGACAACUCCAUUUCAAGAGGCAGCAAAGCCGCCUUCUGUUUUGUGAGCAGAGUCGCUGCUGAGGUCACCUGCCCUGAAAGGGGGAUGGAGCAUCCAGCUGUCCCCAGUAAUUACAGCCGGAGUCAGGGGCAGAAGGCGCACUCGGGAACCCCCUGUGUCACAUUCCUGGUGCCUCCGCACGUUCAUGCACAGAGACGUCAAAGACGCCUGCAUCCCACACAACUAAAGCCGGCGUCGGUGCCCAGAGGAAACGUGAUGUCUUUGCUGAAGAUGAAGAUUCCCCUACAGCCCUGUUUGCUCCAAACACAGCUCUUCCUGGCCAAGGCGCUGCUUCGGAGCCAGCUCACCCUCUCGUUAAUGGAAACGCAGCCCAGAAGCAGGACGUCUCCACCUGCUCCUCCGGUGGUUUUCUUUCCCCCAAACGGACUUCUCUGUUAUCACCCCCAUGGGUGCAACCAGGAAUUCCUACAGCCGUAUGUUGGAAGAGUCACUUUUCUUCUUAAAUGUUAUUCUAUUCGCACAGACUAG
rnacentral:lncRNA from 9 species